rnacentral:rRNA from 1 species
UACGUAGGGGGCAAGCGUUGUCCGGAAUUAUUGGGCGUAAAGAGCGUGUAGGCGGUCCGGUAAGUCAGCUGUGAAAGUCAAGGGCUCAACCCUUGAAUGCCGGUUGAUACUGUCGGGCUAGAGUCCGGAAGAGGCGAGUGGAAUUCCUGGUGUAGCGGUGAAAUGCGCAGAUAUCAGGAGGAACACCGGUGGCGAAGGCGGGUCUCUGGGCCGAUACUGACGCUGAGGAGCGAAAGCGUGGGGAGCGAACAGG